rnacentral:rRNA from 1 species
CUACGGAGGCAGCAGUAGGGAUCCUCCGCAAUGGACGAAAGUCUGACGGAGCAACGCCGCGUGAACGAUGAAGGCCUUCGGGUCGUAAAGUUCUGUUGUCAGGGAAGAACAAGUGCCGUUUGAAUAAGGCGGCACCUUGACGGUACCUGACCAGAAAGCCACGGCUAACUACGUGCCAGCAGCCGCGGUAAUACGUAGGUGGCAAGCGUUGUCCGGAAUUAUUGGGCGUAAAGCGCGCGCAGGCGGUCUUUUAAGUCUGAUGUGAAAGCCCAUGGCUCAACCAUGGAUGGUCAUUGGAAACUGGGAGACUUGAGUACAGAAGAGGAGAGUGGAAUUCCACGUGUAGCGGUGAAAUGCGUAGAUAUGUGGAGGAACACCAGUGGCGAAGGCGACUCUCUGGUCUGUAACUGACGCUGAGGCGCGAAAGCGUGGGGAGCAAACAGGAUUAGAUACCCUGGUAGUCCACGCCGUAAACGAUGAGUGCUAGGUGUUAGGGGUUUCGAUGCCCUUAGUGCCGAAGUUAACACAUUAAGCACUCCGCCUGGGGAGUACGGCCGCAAGGCUGAAACUCAAAGGAAUUGACGGGGGCCCGCACAAGCCGGUGGGAGGCAUGGUGGUUUAAAUUCGGAGCAACGCGAAGGAGCCUUACCAGGUUCUUGACAUCCCGAUGACCGCUCUGGAGACAGAGUUUCCCCUUCGGGGGCAUCGGUGACAGGUGGUGCAUGGGUUGUCGUCAGCUCGUGUCGUGAGAUGUUGGGUUAAGUCCCGCAACGAGCGCAACCCUUGACCUUAGUUGCCAGCAUUCAGUUGGGCACUCUAAGGUGACUGCCGGUGACAAACCGGAGGAAGGUGGGGAUGACGUCAAAUCAUCAUGCCCCUUAUGACCUGGGCUACACACGUGCUACAAUGGAUGGUACAAAGGGAAGCGAAGCCGCGAGGUGGAGCCAAUCCCAUAAAGCCAUUCUCAGUUCGGAUUGCAGGCUGCAACUCGCCUGCAUGAAGCCGGAAUCGCUAGUAAUCGCGGAUCAGCAUNCCGCGGUGAAUACGUUCCCGGGCCUUGUACACACCGCGCCGUCACACCACGAGAGUUUGAUCCUGGCUCAGUCGUAACAAGGUAAC